AAAUAUAUCAACGAUAUAAUAGAAUAUUAUACCUAAGUUUGGAUGCAUAGACCUUAUACUAUAAUAAUUACUAAUAGACUGGCCUUGCCUAUAGACUGUAGAGGAGUAGCUGUAGUAGUAACCGGUCAGACACUCAGACAUACCUACUCACGAUUUAAAAUCGUAGACAUAGGUACUGCAGUAAUGUACAAUAUAAUGAAAUCACUAGACACAUCAGUGUUGUCAUUAUAUUUAAAUAAUAAUAUUAACAUUGUGAGGUCACAAAUCACACGCGAAGAACGCCUUUUCUCUAACCGCUCUACUUGAGUACGUGACUACGUAUACGAAAGGCCAGUCAAUUAGUCUAUGAUGAUGACCAUGAAGACUAUAAUAUUCUAAUCUUGACGAUGACGACAAUACAAUAAAGUGAUACACUGAUAACUACUGUAAAUGAUAAUAAUCAUAGAUAAUAAUGUCUUUAAUAUCUAUGAUAAUAACAGACAAUUAAUACUCGCGCUUAAAUGAACAAAAUAAAAAACCAUGACAAAUUAAAUUUAAUUUGUCAUGUAAAAAACAAUUAUAUUCUUAAAAUUUUUGAGACAGUACCUGAUCGCCUAAAGUAUGUUUCAAAUCCUUAUCUCAUGGCCAUUCGCCACUUCGCUAGUCAAAAUUAUGAACAAGUAUGAGCAACCUCGAAUAGUUGUUGUGAAGCAGAGGUGAAAUACUGAAAUAAAUAAAUGAAUAUCAGAGCACGUAGAAGUAUUACGUUAUACUCAAAGUGUUCAGACAAAUACCAACACCACUAACAGAAACACCCAGCAGCUACCACAGUAAUAACUAUAGCCGUAAUCCCGCACUUGCUGUCAAAUGAAGAAUACAUUUUUUAUGCCGAUUAUGAUUUCAAACACUAAGGAACAGCAAAAUUCAAUAAAUAAUUAGAGACUAGACUGUCUUUAAUAUAAUAACAAUACAGAGUGAAUAGAAAAAGCUAGAUAAUUCUAGGACAACACCUACAACAGUAGAGCAGAAAUCGAUUUAAUAUCAAGCAGAAUACAUCAAUAAGCACACAAGCCGUUGAACAGGGAACACCUCCUGGGUGGAAGACAGCGCCGAGGCUUUAAACAGAAUUUUAUUUUAUUCUUUUGAUACAUAACAUAACAUCAGAGCACGUAGAAGUAUUGCGUUAUACUCAAAGUGUUCAGACAAAUACCAACAUCACUAACAGAAACACCUAGCAACUACCACAGUAAUAACUAUAGCCUUAAUCCCGCACAUGCUGUCAAAUGAGGAAUAUGAGGAAUAAUUUUUUUAGGCCGGUUAUGAUUUCAAACACUAAGGAAUGGCAAAAUUCAAUAAAUAAUUAAGGACUAGACCGUCUUUAAUAUAAUAAUAAUACUGAGAUAGUAAAUAGAAACAGCUGGAUAAGUAGAAAUUGAGGUAACAGCUAAUCGAGGAGCACAUAUCAAUAUGUACACACGUCAUUGAAUAAGGAAACCCAGCACGGUGGAAGACAGCGUCGAGGCGAUAAACAGAAUAUUCUUUUAUUCUUUUGAUACAUAACACUUAAAAUUACUCCUAACAGUUUUAUAAUAAUUCUAUACACAUAAUAAUAUGUCCCUAAUAGAUUUUAUCAUUAUAUUAUGUUUGGAAAUAAACAAUGUCAAUUUUUAUUUUGCUAA